rnacentral:rRNA from 1 species
CAAACUGGGAUUAGAUACCCCACUAUGCCUGGCCCUAAAUCUUGAUGCUCCACCUUACCUGAGCAUCCGCCCGAGAACUACGAGCACAAACGCUUAAAACUCUAAGGACUUGGCGGUGCCCCAAACCCACCUAGAGGAGCCUGUUCU